ensembl:lncRNA
CAAGAUUAUAUCAGAUUAUCGUCCACUGAAAGGACUUUUCUAUUUGAUUUAUUUAUAUAACGGGGACGAUACAUGUCGUCUGCUUAUCCCAGCUGACUUAAUGAUGGACCCUGCAGUACUGACCUAUUCAGUGGAUGAAUAAUAGCAACUCUUUUUACGAGGAUGAAAGUCGAGGGAGCACUUAACACUUCAGGAACAACAAGGCUCAAGCCUGCCAUGAACUGGAAGUUUGUGAGUUUUACAUCAAGAUCGGCAUCUUCAUGCUCCCCUGAAGUUUUCAGCUGAUCACGUGAACGAGCCAAAUAGAAAAAAUGUGCAGAGACGAGACAAAGACUGAGCUAUUUGGCCACAGUGAUAACAGCGCGCAGACUUCACCGACUGGCCCGCUGUGACGGAGCGACACGGGAGGAUGGCAUCCCCACCCUCGGAUACAGCAACUUCAGAGGGCACAAAUACCUCCAGCUUGUAAGCUUCCAAGUGUUUCCUGUUGCAGCCUACAGUGAUGCAGAGAAAACCUCCAACAAUCAGGUUUCCCCCCUAUGAGCAGGCUCUUUGGCAGCAAUGGGAA